rnacentral:misc_RNA from 1 species
GGAAGUAAAAGUCGUAACAGGGUUUCCGUAGGUGAACCUGCGGAAGGAUCAUUAUUGAAUGAAACACUUCCGGCUUUAUGCUGUUGUGCUGGCCCUUUGGGCAAUGUGCACACGGCUCUGGUCACUUGUUUCUUCUGUUCCACCUGUGCACUACCUGUAGACACGCUGUGUCUAUGAUAUUUGUUAACACACAACAAUGUUAGUUGGCAUGUUAUAUAUAAUAAUAAAAUAUACAACUUUCAACAACGGAUCACUUGGCUCUC